CCUACGGGAGGCAGCAGUGAGGAAUAUUGGUCAAUGGACGAGAGUCUGAACCAGCCAAGCCGCGUGAAGGAUGAAGGAUCUAUGAUUUGUAAACUGCUUUUAUACGAGGAUAAAGGCAGAAACGUGUUUCUUUCUGUAUGUAUCAUACGAAUAAGCAUCGGCUAACUCCGUGCCAGCAGCCGCGGUAAUACGGAGGAUGCAAGCGUUAUCCGGAUUUAUUGGGUUUAAAGGGUGCGUAGGCGGUGCAUUAAGUUAGCGGUGAAAUUUCGUGGCGCAACCACGAAAUUGCCUUUGAUACUGGUUGACUUGAGUAAAGUUGAGGUAGGCGGAAUGCAUGGUGUAGCGGUGAAAUGCUUAGAGAUCACGCAGAACACCGAUUGCGAAGGCAGCUUACUAAGCUAUAACUGACGUUGAGGCACGAAAGCGUGGGGAGCAAACAGGAUUAGAUACCCGAGUAGUC
rnacentral:rRNA from 1 species